rnacentral:lncRNA from 1 species
GUGAGGAUCCCGAAGCAGAGCUCACAAGCGCGAUGCUGUGCCCUCUGGGCUUUGUAGUCCGUUCGCGUUGAGCGCUCUCUGAUCCAGUUCGCACUCUCCAGCUGGCAGCCUGGCCCUAGGCUUUGAAUGCUUGUACAUGGCCUGGGAUUUAGCACUUUAUAAUUGUUCCUGUGGAUCCUGCGCUGUUCUAGAGAAAAUUUCCUUGGAGAGAGGAGAAUCUUUUGAUUAAGUAUAUACUUAAAAUUACCCCCCCCCUUUUGCACUAGAGCCAUUCUACAUUUAUUUCUGUACAAUCACAGGGAACUAAAAGCUGGUGAGCCAUUCAGAGUUACAGAGAAUAGUGUGUAUUUCCUAGCAUUUAUGCUCAGUUCUGCAGAGAAAUGCAUUUUAAUUCUUGGAAACCCAUAAAUUCUCAAUUCUGUAGUACCCUCUAUUUUUGUUGCAUAUUUUUUUCUUUUUCUUCUUUUUUUCAUCUUAGGAGAGAGUGGUUUGUUGCUCAGCGUUGCCUCACGAGUAAAAAUGUAACAUUAAACCUUCAUCAAUAAGUUUUGAAUGUGAAGUUUGAAGCCAUGUGUGGCAGUGUUCAUUUGCAAUCCUAUCAUUUGGGAGGCUAGAAUAAGGGUUAUGUGUAGAACAGAGAUAGGCUAGGUGGUGUUUCAGUAAAAAGAAAUUCAAAAUAACAGUGUUUUAAUACAAAACUUUAUUUUUUACUAUGUUAUCUCCAUAGUUUAGAAUGAGAAGAUGGAAGAAUUGUUCCAUGCACAUUCAGGUCCUGUCAACCACCAUGACAAGAGAAAGGUGACAAAGAAUUAUGGCCUAUUCUCAGAAGCUUCUGACCAAAUUAACAUUUCAACGAUAGCAUGUGGUCAUGCUAACUUCAAAAGAAUGACGCAUUAAAUAACUUUGAGAGCCUAACAAACUACUUACCAGCUUAAAAUAUCAACUAUGGAAUAGUGAGGUGGCUCAGUAGAUGAAGGUCAGAUUGGCUGUUUUGCUGAUCUGGUGAGGCUCUGCAAAUCUUGGCUGGGAUUGUCAUUGCUGGAACUUAUUUGUGUAGAGCUAGCAUGUGAAGUACAGAGGACAUAGAGCAAAGGAUUACCAGCCUACAAUCCUCAUCACCAAAGAAAUGAGGAACAAGAAGGACUCUAAGAGAAAAAUGCAUGGACCCCGGAGAAUGGGAAGGGAG